rnacentral:rRNA from 1 species
UGCAAGUCGAACGCUUCUUUUUCCACCGGAGCUUGCUCCACCGGAAAAAGAGGAGUGGCGAACGGGUGAGUAACACGUGGGUAACCUGCCCAUCAGAAGGGGAUAACACUUGGAAACAGGUGCUAAUACCGUAUAACAAUCGAAACCGCAUGGUUUUGAUUUGAAAGGCGCUUUCGGGUGUCGCUGAUGGAUGGACCCGCGGUGCAUUAGCUAGUUGGUGAGGUAACGGCUCACCAAGGCCACGAUGCAUAGCCGACCUGAGAGGGUGAUCGGCCACAUUGGGACUGAGACACGGCCCAAACUCCUACGGGAGGCAGCAGUAGGGAAUCUUCGGCAAUGGACGAAAGUCUGACCGAGCAACGCCGCGUGAGUGAAGAAGGUUUUCGGAUCGUAAAACUCUGUUGUUAGAGAAGAACAAGGAUGAGAGUAACUGUUCAUCCCUUGACGGUAUCUAACCAGAAAGCCACGGCUAACUACGUGCCAGCAGCCGCGGUAAUACGUAGGUGGCAAGCGUUGUCCGGAUUUAUUGGGCGUAAAGCGAGCGCAGGCGGUUUCUUAAGUCUGAUGUGAAAGCCCCCGGCUCAACCGGGGAGGGUCAUUGGAAACUGGGAGACUUGAGUGCAGAAGAGGAGAGUGGAAUUCCAUGUGUAGCGGUGAAAUGCGUAGAUAUAUGGAGGAACACCAGUGGCGAAGGCGGCUCUCUGGUCUGUAACUGACGCUGAGGCUCGAAAGCGUGGGGAGCAAACAGGAUUAGAUACCCUGGUAGUCCACGCCGUAAACGAUGAGUGCUAAGUGCUGGAGGGUUUCCGC